CUUCCUCUUCCUCUUCCUCUUCCUCUUCCUCUUCCUCUUCCUCUUCCUCUUCCUCUUCCUCUUCCUCUUCCUCUUCCUCUUUUCCUCUUUUCCUCUUUUCCUCUUUUCCUCUUUUCCUCUUUUCCACUUUUCCACUUUUCCUUUUCCUCUUUUCCUCUUUUCCUCUCCUUUUUGUAUCAUCAUGGCAAUGAAAUACAGAGCUAGAUGCAUCUUCUAGGCCGCCUGCCUGUAGAGUCAUUUGUACUCAUCAGAGCAACCUCUACAGAAAGUAAGGCUAACAACCCGGAGCACCAGAAAACUGCCAAAACCCACACUUCCCAGAUCCCUGGAGAUGCUUUUUUACUCUCAGCACACGAGUUGGAAGGCUGAGAUGGUGCCAUGGUGCAAGGAAAGUCCCUCCAGCUUUUGCUAUUGGAGAGAUUUGAAAUGCAGAAUAGUCAGCAUUCCACAACUUCUGCCCACAAGCAAGUGUGAGAUGGCUCCAAGAUGCCUCGCUUCUUUGUACUGCAGGAGGUUUCUAAUAAGAAGCCAAGCUUCUGAAAACUGGAGAUGCUGCAGCACACAAAGCCCUUGCAGAGGAACCCUGUAAAACUCAGUGAAAGUGGAAUUAAACCAGGGUGCAUUUGAAACUGACAGGACCCUACAGCAAUGAACAGAGCAAUGAGUACUUUCUGUAGACUGUUUCAAACGAAUUGUGAAAAACUUAAGCAUGUUUUUUCCAGGACCUCAUCCCAUGACCAGUGUCAAUAGAUGUUUUUCAGUCUACUUCAAUGCCCUCUGAUCAAGCUGUAUGUCCCUACAAGUGCUUGGGCACAUUACAAUUGUUUUAAAAAUUCUUCUCAUAAUAAAGCACGUGGAAAAAUAUUUGCUGGGGCA
rnacentral:lncRNA from 1 species